AGCUCUCAGCCUCAAGGGUUUCACUUCUCAUCAGCUCAGAGUUAUUAACUCGGUUUUAGGAAAGCAUUUUGGAGAUCUUGUCUACAUACAUUCAAAUGAUAAAA